rnacentral:rRNA from 2 species
ACGCCGCGUGAGUGAAGAAGGGUUUCGGCUCGUAAAACUCUGUUGUUAAAGAAGAACAUAUCUGAGAGUAACUGUUCAGGUAUUGACGGUAUUUAACCAGAAAGCCACGGCUAACUACGUGCCAGCAGCCGCGGUAAUACGUAGGUGGCAAGCGUUGUCCGGAUUUAUUGGGCGUAAAGCGAGCGCAGGCGGUUUUUUAAGUCUGAUGUGAAAGCCUUCGGCUUAACCGAAGAAGUGCAUCGGAAACUGGGAAACUUGAGUGCAGAAGAGGACAGUGGAACUCCAUGUGUAGCGGUGAAAUGCGUAGAUAUAUGGAAGAACACCAGUGGCGAAGGCGGCUGUCUGGUCUGUAACUGACGCUGAGGCUCGAAAGUAUGGGUAGCAAACAGGAUUAGAUACCCUGGUAGUCCAUACCGUAAACGAUGAAUGCUAAGUGUUGGAGGGUUUCCGCCCUUCAGUGCUGCAGCUAACGCAUUAAGCAUUCCGCCUGGGGAGUACGGCCGCAAGGCUGAAACUCAAAGGAAUUGACGGGGGCCCGCACAAGCGGUGGAGCAUGUGGUUUAAUUCGAAGCUACGCGAAGAACCUUACCAGGUCUUGACAUACUAUGCAAAUCUAAGAGAUUAGACGUUCCCUUCGGGGACAUAGAUACAGGUGGUGCAUGGUCGUCGUCAGCUCGUGUCGUG